rnacentral:rRNA from 1 species
CCAACAGGGAUUGCCUUAGUAACGGCGAGUGAAGCGGCAACAGCUCAAAUUUGAAAUCUGGCUUUGGCCCGAGUUGUAAUUUGCAGAGGAUGCUUUUGGUGCGGUGCCUUCCAAGUCCCCUGGAACGGGGCGCCAAAGAGGGUGAGAGCCCCGUCUGGUUGGCCGCUAAGCCUGUGUAAAGCUCCUUCGACGAGUCGAGUAGUUUGGGAAUGCUGCUCUAAAUGGGAGGUAGACCCCUUCUAAAGCUAAAUACCGGCCAGAGACCGAUAGCGCACAAGUAGAGUGAUCGAAAGAUGAAAAGCACUUUGAAAAGAGGGUUAAACAGUACGUGAAAUUGUUAAAAGGGAAGCGCUUGUGACCAGACGUGCGCCGGGUGUUCAGCGGGCGUUCUCGCCCGUGCACUCACCCCGGCGCAGGCCAGCGUCGGUUCGGAUGGGGGGAUAAAGGCGCUGGGAAUGUGGCUCCUCCGGGAGUGUUAUAACCCAGCGUGCCAUGCCCCCGCCUGGACCGAGGUUCGCGCUCUGCAAGGACGCUGGCGUAAUGGUCCCCAGCGGCCCGUCUUGAAACACGGACCAAGGAGUCGAGGUUUUGCGCGAGUGUUUGGGUGUCAAACCCGCACGCGUAAUGAAAGUGAACGCAGGUGGGAGCUUCGGCGCACCACCGACCGAUCCUGAUGUUCUCGGAUGGAUUUGAGUAGGAGCGUAGGGCCUCGGACCCGAAAGAUGGUGAACUAUACUUGGAUAGGGUGAAGCCAGAGGAAACUCUGGUGGAGGCUCGCAGCGGUUCUGACGUGCAAAUCGAUCGUCAAAUCUGAGUAUGGGGGCGAAAGACUAAUCGAACCAU